GUUGUGAGGUUAAGCGACUAAGCGUACACGGUGGAUGCCCUGGCAGUCAGAGGCGAUGAAGGGCGUACUAAUCUGCGAUAAGCGCCGGUAAGGUGAUAUGAACCGUUAUAACCGGCGAUACCCGAAUGGGGAAACCCAGUGUGAUUCGUCACACUAUCAUUAACUGAAUCCAUAGGUUAAUGAGGCGAACCGGGGGAACUGAAACAUCUAAGUACCCCGAGGAAAAGAAAUCAACCGAGAUUCCCCCAGUAGCGGCGAGCGAACGGGGAGGAGCCCAGAGCCUGAAUCAGCAUGUGUGUUAGUGGAAGCGUCUGGAAAGGCGCGCGAUACAGGGUGACAGCCCCGUACACAAAAGCGCAUGUGCUGUGAGCUCGAUGAGUAGGGCGGGACACGUGGUAUCCUGUCUGAAUAUGGGGGGACCAUCCUCCAAGGCUAAAUACUCCUGACUGACCGAUAGUGAACCAGUACCGUGAGGGAAAGGCGAAAAGAACCCCGGCGAGGGGAGUGAAAAAGAACCUGAAACCGUGUACGUACAAGCAGUGGGAGCACCCUUUGGGUGUGACUGCGUACCUUUUGUAUAAUGGGUCAGCGACUUAUAUUCUGUAGCAAGGUUAACCGAAUAGGGGAGCCGGAGGGAAACCGAGUCUUAACCGGGCGUUAAGUUGCAGGGUAUAGACCCGAAACCCGGUGAUCUAGCCAUGGGCAGGUUGAAGGUUGGGUAACACUAACUGGAGGACCGAACCGACUAAUGUUGAAAAAUUAGCGGAUGACCUGUGGCUGGGGGUGAAAGGCCAAUCAAACCGGGAGAUAGCUGGUUCUCCCCGAAAGCUAUUUAGGUAGCGCCUCGUGAAUUCAUCUCCGGGGGUAGAGCACUGUUUCGGCUAGGGGGCCAUCCCGGCUUACCAACCCGAUGCAAACUGCGAAUACCGGAGAAUGUUAUCACGGGAGACACACGGCGGGUGCUAACGUCCGUCGUGAAGAGGGAAACAACCCAGACCGCCAGCUAAGGUCCCAAAGUCAUGGUUAAGUGGGAAACGAUGUGGGAAGGCCCAGACAGCCAGGAUGUUGGCUUAGAAGCAGCCAUCAUUUAAAGAAAGCGUAAUAGCUCACUGGUCGAGUCGGCCUGCGCGGAAGAUGUAACGGGGCUAAACCAUGCACCGAAGCUGCGGCAGCGACACUGUGUGUUGUUGGGUAGGGGAGCGUUCUGUAAGCCUGUGAAGGUGUGUCGUGAGGC
rnacentral:rRNA from 1 species